rnacentral:rRNA from 2 species
UUUUAUGGAGAGUUUGAUCCUGGCUCAGAGUGAACGCUGGCGGCGUGCCUAAUACAUGCAAGUCGAACGAUGAAGCUUCUAGCUUGCUAGAAGUGGAUUAGUGGCGCACGGGUGAGUAAGGUAUAGUUAAUCUGCCCUACACAAGAGGACAACAG